AACGUACGCUGGCGGCACGCCUAACACAUGCAAGUCGAACGAAGUAGCAAUACUUAGUGGCAGACGGGUGAGUAACAUGUAGGUAUCUACCCUAUGGUUUGGAAUAACACGAGGAAACUUGUGCUAAUACCAAAUAAGUCUUUACGGAGAAAGCUUUAUGCGCCAUUGGAUGAGCCUGCACUUGAUUAGUUUGUUGGUGGGGUAAUGGCCUACCAAGACAAUGAUCAAUAGCUGAUUUGAGAGGAUGAUCAGCCACAUUGGGACUGAGACACGGCCCAAACUCCUACGGGAGGCAGCAGUGGGGAAUCUUGCACAAUGGGGGAAACCCUGAUGCAGCGAUGCCGCGUGAGUGAAGAAGGCCUUUGGGUUGUAAAGCUCUUUCGCAGGGAAAGAAAAACGC
rnacentral:rRNA from 1 species